UUACAAUUUUUUUUCCUAUAAAUUUAAGUUGUUGUAAUUUUUAAAUUUAAAUAAUAAAUUAUGUUUGGCCCUUUGGUCCUCGGUUGGAGAUGGUUUUUUGUGACAGGGUUAUGUUUGGUCCUAUGGCCCGUUGGCCCUCGAUUGGAGAUGGUAAGAAAUAUGACCCUGCAUUGUUCAUUAAAAAAAUUAAUUUCUUGAAGGGCCAGAGGGCUAAAACAAGCCCUCUGGCCCUCCUUUGGUUGGAGAUGUCCUAAGUUUUUUCAUGCAAAAUCAUAUCAUGUUAUGGUCCUCUUCUGAUGGCUUGACUUAGAUUUAACUAUUUUAGAUUUAGUCUAGCAUCAAUGUCGAUGUUUAGUGAAUUUGUAUAUGCUGAGAUAAGAUUUUCCAAACUGGGUGACGGUCUGAUAUAUUAUUAUGUCUUACCAGUCUCAAUUAUGGUGUGUGACUCAAUAGGAUUAGAGUUAAACACAACUUCAAUCAUAUCAAAAGCUUGUUUGGAAGUACUUUUAAAAUGGUUAAAAGUGUAACACUUGGAAAAAAAAAAAUAUAUAUAUAUAUAUAUAAAUUAUAGGAGUAAGAUUAUUUUAGCUUUGAAAUAUUAAAAAAAAAAACAAAGAAACAGACAAAAGAUGAUCUAUACGUGUAGACAUCCCAACUUUUCUUCUUCUUCCCAACCAUCACACGGUGGGAAACCAAGAUAAUCAAAUUCUAUCCAUAAAUGUUGGGGGUGAUGUGGGUAGUCUAGGGGGAGUGAGUAAGCAUCUAAAACAAAGAUGCAAUGAUGGGAUUAGGGAGAGCAUUUCUAACUCUCACUGAAGAACUAGAGGAGAACGAGAGCUUUUGGAAAGGGAAAAGUAGGAAAUCGGAAGAGGGGAACUGAGAGGGUGCCAGGUGUGUUUUUCAAUUGGUACAAAAGUUUUGAGGGAUGAAAAUGAAGCUUGGUUCAUCACGAGGUUGUGACUGGGGUAUAUUUGAGUAAACUUUUGAUAGGCUGAAAUUGAAUCUUCAUUCUAGUUUUAUGCUAACUUUUAUUAUUAUUUAUGUGAUUUUUGGCCUGGGAGUGACUCCGGACACUUCGGAGGCUUAGAGAGGUAUUCUAGUUAGCUAGACUCGAGGUAGGGACUCUAUUUCCCGAUGAUAGGUCUAUAUCAUGUUUAAUCUUUGUGAUAUUAGUACUUAUAUCUAUUAUAGUAGUAGUGAAAUGUUUGGAUGAAAUUGGAUCUUUUGAUUUUCAUGGUUGUGUUAUGGGUUGAUGGUCUCUUUUCCGGUGUAUUUUAUACAUUGGCUAUGUUAAAUGCUGUUAUGUUUUGAUGAAUGGUUGAGCUAUGUAAAAUUGAUGGAUUGAAUAUGUUGAGGUUUACAAUUGUAUUUGAAAUCAAAAUGUUCAGGUUGCAUUACAUGUUAUAGAGUCAAGUGUUGGGUUGUGUAAAGUUGGUUAAACAAAGUGUUGAAAACUUAUAUAUGUUCAAGCGUCGGGUGAAGGGUUUGAACGUAUAGUUGGGCGUCGGGGGAAGGGCCCAUGUUAAUGAAACUGAAACUACUAAUAAAAUUCAGGGUUAAGGGAGGAAUGAGAGUUAACUUAUAUUCUAUGGUGUUUGAAACCAAGAGGUAUAAGCAUAGUAUGAGAUAUGCAGGUUUGGAUGCCAUAAAUAUAAGUUAGCGGGAUUAGAAGGGAGUGAGUUCAUGGGUACUUCUUUGUCAUAUCAUUUGUAUUUUACCGUAUUGUUUGAUGCAUGGCACUUUGAUUAACUAUGAUAAAUGAACUUGAAGGGUAUAUGGUUCCUAUUGGGCAUAAAAUGCUCACACCCUAUUAGCUAUUGCAUGUACUAGUAUGGGGGAACUUGAUGAUGACCUAUCUCUAAAUGAAUAGCCAUAUCAUGUGUGUGUUGAGUGUGUUGUAAGAGUUGCACUCUUUAAACUCAUGAUGUAUUAAAUAAACAGGUCUAAGUGAACUUUUAGAUGGCUCUGGUUCCAUCAUACUUUUGUUGUAAUAUUAAUUUUUUUUUUCUAAGAUACUAUUCAUGCCCUAAUUCGAUUAUCAUCCUUAUUUUCGAACUUGGGGUGUGACAAAAAGUUAUCUUUGGUGAAAAUGAUUUUUGGAACCAAUCUUUAAUAAAAAUGCAAGCGAAUCUUGAAAAAGCACUUUAAAGUGCUUUUGGAAUCCAAAAA